AUACGUAGGGGACGAGCGUUGUCCGGAAUUACUGGGCGUAAAGGGCGCGCAGGCGGAUAUUUAAGUCAGCUGUAAAAGGCAUGAGCUCAACUCAUGUAUGCGGUUGAAACUGGGUAUCUAGAGUGCUGGAGAGGUAGGCGGAAUUCCCGGUGUAGCGGUGAAAUGCGUAGAUAUCGGGAAGAAUACCAGUGGCGAAGGCGGUUUGCUGGCUGCAUACUGACGCUGAAGCGCGAAAGCCAGGGGAGCGAACGGGAUUAGAUACCCCGGUAGUCCUGGCAGUAAACGAUGUGUGCUGGGUGUGAGACUAGCGAUAGUUUCGUGCCGAAGUUAACGCGAUAAGCAUACCGCCUGGGGAGUACGGUCGCAAGAUUGAAACUCAAAGGAAUUGACGGGG
rnacentral:rRNA from 1 species